AGAGUUUGAUCCUGGCUCAGGAUGAACGUUGGCGGUGUGCCUUAUGCAUGCAAGUCGAACGGGGAUAUGACUUUCGGGUUAUAUUCUAGUGGCGAACGGCUGAGUAACGCGUAAGUAACCUACCCUCGAGUGGGGAAUAACUUGUCGAAAGGCAAGCUAAUACCGCAUGAAGUAACCAAAAGGUAUGUUUAGUUACCAAAGUCUUCGGAUGCUCGAAGAGGGGCUUGCGUCUGAUUAGCUAGUUGGUGAGGUAAUGGCUCACCAAGGCGAUGAUCAGUAGCUGGUCUGAGAGGAUGGUCAGCCAGAUAGGGACUGAGACACGGCCCUGACUCCUACGGGAGGCAGCAGCAGGGAAUAUUGGACAAUGGGCGAAAGCCUGAUCCAGCGACACCGCGUGAGGGAAGAAGGCCUUCGGGUUGUAAACCUCUUUUCUCUGGGAAGAAAUUUGACGGUACCAGAGGAAUAAGCCUCGGCUAAUUACGUGCCAGCAGCCGCGGUAAAACGUGGGAGGCAAACGUUAUCCGGAUUUACUGGGCGUAAAGGGAGUGUAGGCGGUUCUUUAAGUCAGGUGUGAAAUCUCUUGACUCAAUCAAGAGGAGUCAUCUGAAACUGAGGGACUUGAGGGCGGCAGAAGGAAACGGAAUUCCCGGUGUAGCGGUGAAAUGCGUUGAUACCGGGAAGAACACCAGUGGCGAAGGCGGUUUCCUAGGCUGUUUCUGACGCUGAGACUCGAAAGCGUGGGGAGCGAAGCGGAUUAGAUACCCGCGUAGUCCACGCCCUAAACGGUGGACACUAGAUAUGGGGAGUAUCGACCCUCCUCGUGUCGAAGCUAACGCUUUAAGUGUCCCGCCUGGGGACUACGACCGCAAGGUUAAAACUCAAAGGAAUUGACGGGGGCCCGCACAAGCAGCGGAGCGUGUGGUUUAAUUCGAUGCUACGCGAAGAACCUUACCAGGGCUUGACAUGUCAGUAGUAGGAAUCCGAAAGGAGGACGACCU
rnacentral:rRNA from 1 species